ensembl:lncRNA
CUUCUCUUCACGUCUUGAGGACCUCAGUCCGUCAUGCCUGCUCUGGGGUGUGGUCUCAUUCCUCUCUCGCCUGGCUUGGUUCUCCUCAAGGCUCAGCAGCCAUCCUCUCAGCCACUCUUGCUCCUUCCUUCCACAAGUUUCUAUCAAACUUUCUGUGUCUGUCUGUACCUUGACAGCGCUUCUACGUGCUGGAAAACAGACUGCGAAGAAAACAUUCCUGCCUUCACGAAGGGUGCUUUCUCUGGGGAGAGAAAGACACUAAGCGGCUGUGUGGGAGGCGGUGACACGUGCUGUGGAAACGAUAGAGCAGAGCGUGGAGAGGGCUGGGGUGCUGUUAGAGAAGGAUGCUCGGGGAGAACGUCUCUGAUCAGGUCACAUUUGAGUAGAGACGUGAAGAAAGCUAAGGAUGAACCCUGAAGAUAUUUGGGGAAGAAUGUUCUAGGAAGAGGGCCUGGUAAGUGCGGUGGCCCUGAGAUGGGACCCCUCGGCGUGCUCGAGGAACAUGAGUGAGGCCAGCGUAGCUGGUGCAGAGUGACCAAGGGCCUGGAGUAGGAGAUGAGGUCAGAAGGGCAGCAAAGGGACAGAUCACAGAGUUUUACAGGCCAUUGUAAGGACUUAGACUUUUACUCUAAGAAAGGGAGGAAGACCCUGGGGGAUGUUCAAUAGGGAAGUGACACGAUCUUAUAUUUGCUGAAGGCCCCUCUGGCUGCUGUGUUGAGAACAGACUGAAGGGGCCACGGUGGAAGCUGGGAGACAAGCUGGGAGGCUCCCGCAGAAAUCAGGUGGGAGAUAGACCGGGGUGGCUGUGGCGAAGGUGGUGACAAGCGGCCCAGUUUAGGAUGUAUUUUGAAGGUAGACUUAUCAGGAUUUGCUGAUGGAUGGGCUAUGGGUGUGAGAAAAAGGAACAUCGUGUCAAGGACAAGUAAGACUUGGGCCAGGGCAACUGUAAAGACGGAGUUCCGGCCUCUGAAGAAGAAAAGCAAGCUCCCUUUUUGGCCGGAGGGGGCAAGGGGAGAGGAAUUUCACUUCACUCGUGUUCACACGGCGGUGCCCACUGAUGCUCAAGGGGUGAGUUUAAGAGGCAGUUGGGUACUUGAGUCUGGGGUUCAGGAAAGAGGUUUAAGCUGAGUUCCAGUGUGGGACUUGCCGCCUGCUGGAUGGCAUUUAAAGCCAUGAUCAUUACGGAGAGGGUAGUGGGAGAGGAGAGGUUCCGGGAGUGACCCCUGGGCCUGCUCCAGUGUCGCAGGUUUGGGAGAAGAAUAGCCACCAGGGGAGACUGAGACGGAGUGGCCGGGGAGACGGAGAAAAACCAGGAGACCACGGGGUGAAGAAACGCCCGGAGCCAGAGGGAUGAAUGUGGUCAAAGCUGCUAUUCAAGUGAGGCGGGGCUGAGCGAAGGCUUCCACGGAGGCAGCAGAGUCCCGGUUUUCACUCACGACCAGCUUUGCGAGGCUCUGCCUGAGAGAGGUGGCCCCGCGCACGUCAGCUGUGGACGAGGGGGACACGUGCUCCAGCAUGGCCAUCCCGCUCCACCUUCUGCAUUCAUCGCAGGGGACGAGGGCUCAGUGCAGGCUGCAGCUGUCCCGGCAUCUCCUGAGCUCUGCCCUCCCUCUGGAUCCCCACUCCCUCAGGGCGGAGGCGGACAGCAGGCUGAAGGGAGAACUUCAGUCAGUGGGAAACUUCAUGGAGCAACAGCUGGCUGCCAGCUGUCCUCGCCUUGUCACAGUUCUGAUUACACCUUGCAGGUGAAGAAGAUGAGGCUCAGAGAAGUUAAGUACCACCCAAGGCCCCAAAGCUAGUAAGUCGCAAGCCAGAAGCUUCAGUGUACACUGACCUGAGGUAGAAAAUGCUGACAUCUUUGUUCCUUUGGGUCCAGAACUCCAAAAGAGAUAAGCCCCCAGACCUUUGGUGGUGGCGGUGCAAACGCGCCUCUCAGAUUUCAGACUGGUCCCCGCUACUGUGCCCGGAUCAUGGCCAUCACUGUUUGCACUGAGGCCCUCAGGCUGCUUCCAGCCAUUGACUCCGGCAGGUCCCCUCUUGGAGAUGCAAGACCCCCCCCGACAGACAAGUUGGCACAAGGAUUCCCCAAGGGCUUGCUACUUUCUUAGAUCUGAACCACAACCUGAGACUCUUCACCCCACCUUCUGUCCUGCCCUCUCUCCUCCGCAGGGUCCAAACUACGUCACAGUCUGACGUCCCUCCCAACUUCCCCCUGGCUCCCCGCCCAUCUUCCCUCACAGGUGUCCCCCAUAAAUCUCUUGCACAUAGAGUCCUGUCUUGGUGUCUGCUUCUUCAAGGACCAGAACGAAUGUAAGUAGUCUGAGGAAACAGUGGUAAGAUGGGGAUUUGGGGCUGUCCCACUCAGAGGCAAUGGGGAGGAAGAUGUUGUCCUGAUUGAUAGGAGGCCCCCAGAGAGUCCUUAGAACAAGGCAGCAGCUCAAAUGCUAAACAUUUCACCAGCGAGGACCUGGGAAAAUUUCCUGGAGGAGAGGAGUGCUGGCAGGUGUGAUAAUUCAAGCAUUUGAAAAAUAGAGGGGCAAAGAUGCCUUCAAAAAAUUGGCUGGUUACUGCAGAGGGAAGAAGGACUGCGGGCCACUAAUGAGCAGUGGAGGGGUAGGCGUGGAGGCCGAGAGCCCUGCGGUGGCUUACAAAGAGGCCCUUAUCUCUGGCAGUGGAGGGCAGAUACGGCUGAGUGGCGGGCUGAAGACAAACCGUUAGCGUUGCAGAGCGCCAGAUAAGUCUGAAGGCUCAGCCAAGGCGGUUAUGAGAAGAUCGGGCCCUGGUGGGGAAAAUCUGGACCCCUGACCCAUGAGAUAAAGACAUCUGGAUGGAUGCCCUGAGGCCGCCGCGCAGCCUCCCUGACCCUCUGAGCUUGCAGAGGUGGCCCGCCCUUCUGCAGAAGAGCUACCCCUCUGCAGUGCUGAAAGAUUCCCAAGAGGCCUCGCCCCGGCAGGGGCCCUCUCAGUGGCUGCCCCACUGCCUCUCCUGGGUGCCAGGGACAAGCAUUAGGGUUGAAUUCCAGAAUAAUCUGGCUGCAGACAUGCUGGGCCUGAUAAGGGAGGAAAGAGACUAUAUCAUGAAAGAAUGGUAACUCUCAUGGAUCCUGGAACAAACCAGGGAUGCUCCUGGGACUGGAUUUUGCGAAUGCCUGAUUAAGGAGGCUGGAAUGUAAGACUGGCUAACAAGAAUCCAUCGGCUGGAGGGCACUUUCUUGAGACGCAAGAUUUAAUAUCCUAGCGAGGAUACCAGGGGAUGGGGCAGACUCUGCUAGGGUGGCUCUUAGAAGUCUGGAAAAAGUAGUGGCUAACACUCAGUGCAGUGGAAAUACCUGAGUUCUCCUGGCAGAUGGUAGAGAAGAAGUUAAAAAAGCUGAGGAAAGUGGACACGUUGGAACGGAUUUGUUAUCUAAGGCCAGUAAUGACAGGCAAGGACAGAGGGGCAGGCAAGGGGGCUUGACCCACAGAAAGCUGUGGAGAUGGUGAAUGGAGCAGGGUAUCCCCAGGAGCAAACCAGAGGGGCAGCCAAGAAGCCUCUGCUUAAUAUCUACAGCCAGAAAAGCAGACAGGAGUGGGGGAGCAGAAGGCAGGGGCAAUAGGAGGUCACCGUCCCUUGCUCAGUUCCCAGACCUGAACCAAUUUUCAGAUAUGAAACCCGCUGACCGAAGAGGUGGCCAGAUCUCUAGGAAUAGGACCCUGCCAAACCUCAAGUAUGUAUCAUGAUGAUUCCUUCAGGAUUCUUCCAAAGGCCUGUGGCCAUUUGUUUGGGUGAUUGUUCACUAGAGAAAGGGGAAUAACAAGACAUUUGAGGACUAGUAGACACAGAGUUUGAGUUGACGUUAACACCUGGAGACUCAAAGCAUCAUCGUGGGCCCCUUUUCAGAGCCAGGCCAUGGUGGUCAGGCAGUAAGUGGAGUCCUGGCUAAAGUCUGGAUUGCAGUGGGCCUGCUGGGUCCACGAACCCACCCAGAAGCCCCUUGUCCCUGAGAGUGUCAUUAGAAUUCACAUGCUUUGACAGUUGGAGUAACCCCUACCUCAGUCCUGGUCUACUGGGUGGGAGCUAUUAGAGCCAAGAAGGCCAAGUAGAAACUUCUGAAACUGCCGUGCCCCUUCUCCUCGCCCUGCCCGAGAUAGUAAACCAAAAAUAACAUCUCAUCCUAGGGGCUGUGGUAGAAAUUAAUUCCACGACUAACAACUAAGGAUGAAGGAGUGUGGUCCCUACCAUUGAUUUCUUCAUUUAACUCACCAGUCUGACCUCUGCAGAAAUUGGACGGAUCCUGGAGGAAGACCGCAGACCGCCACGGCUUAACCAAGGGGGAGCCCUGCUCGCAGCUGCUGUGCCUGACGUGGAGUCCUUGCCGGAGCAGGUUCACGAGGCCUUAGGUAUGUGGCCAGCAGUAAUUCAGUGCCUGUGGUCUUUUCCAUUCCAAUUAGAAAAGAGGAUCAGAAACAGUUCACAUUCACAUGGGAUGGACAACAAUAUUCAUUUACACUUUUGCCUCGGGGCUAUGUUAACUGUCUCUCUGACUUAAUAUAAUCCCAAGAGAUCAGGACCAUGAUCCCACAGAACAUCACCCUGAUCCAUUGCAUCGCUGCGCCAUGCUGGUUAGACAGGAUGAGCAAGAGGUGUCCCUAUGCUGGAAGCCGCGGCUAAGUCACAUGCACUCCAGAGUGCGGCAUAUAAAACCUAUGACGAUUCAAAGACCUACCACUUCAAUGAAGUUUUGAAGGGGUUCAGUGGUCAGGGGGAUGCCAAGAUAUCCCCUCCCAAGUAAACGAAAUGGCUGCAUUUUGUAUUUCUUACCACAAGAAAGCACAAUGCCUGGUAACCCUCUUGGGGUUAGAGACAACCCAUUAUUCUGGGUGACAAGGAAGGCUGCCAGCUGUAGGUGGGCCCCAGGACGGGAAGAGGCUCUGCUGAAGGUUUAGGCUGCAGUGCAAGCAGUCCUGCCAUUUGGGUUAUGCUGUUUGGCAGACUCUCUGGUGCUGGAAUAGUCAAUAGUGGGAGAGGGAAAAGGUGUAGUUGGAGCUUAUGUCAAGUCCCAGUGGGAGAAGUGUAGAGCAGGACCCUGGGAUUCCAUGGCAAGGCCACACCAUCGGCAACAGAGGGCUGCAUGCCUUUUGAGAAACUGUUUCUGGCAUGUUACUGGGGUCUGGUAGAGACAGAACACUCGCCCAGGGCACACCAAGUGGGACAUCUGAAACUGCCCUCUGAGCUGGGUUCUGUUGGAUGCAUCAAGUCAUAAAGUCAGAUGGGGCUGACAGCAGUCCGUCAUAAGACAGAAAUGCUGCCUCUGGGACUGAGCCAGACUGAGGCAGAGGGCAUGAGUAAACUGCAUGAGGACAUAGCCAGAGCCCAUUCUCUGGCUUGUACUUAUGGUCGCAUGGAGGGUUCUGUACAACCAACUGAAAGAGGAGGAAAAAGCCUGAGCUUGGUUUAUGGAUGGGUCAAAGUGGCACAUGGGUACAAGCUGAAGAUGGACAGUGGCUGUAUGACAGGUGUAAGGGAAAGGGAAAAUAUUCUUCCUGGAUAGAGCUGUGAGCAGAGUGCUUGCUCACCUACCUUGUUGCACAAGAAAAAGUGGCCCAAGGUGGUGAGAAUAUAUACACCCUCUUGGGCAGUGGCCAAUGGUCUGGCCAUUUGUUCAGGGGCCUGGAAGGAAAAGGACUGGCAGAUUGGGGACAAGGAGGUGUGAGGUAGAGGCAUGUGGAUGGAUGCAGGAGAUAAAGCAUGAAGCGUGAGGGUUGCAGUACCACACACUAAUGCCCAUUAGAAAGCACUCGAAACAGAAGCAGCAGUGAAUAAGCAAGGAAAGAAAAUGUCUUGGACAGUUGACACAAGCCAGUCCUUGUCAUUGGCUACUCUGGAACUGGCAUGAUGGGCAUAUGAGUGGAAUGGCCACAGUGGCAGAGGCAGAAGCCACAGAGGGGCUAACAUGGGCCCAGCAGCACGGACUCCCUAGGAACUGCUGCCUCUGAAUGUCCAACCCAUCAGCAAAAGAGACCAGUGCUGAGCCCCUGCAGUGGCACUGUGUCUCAAGGAGCCCAACUCACCGCUUGAAGGCAAGUCAACUGCAUCAGGCUCCUUCCAUCCCGAAGCGUCAGCGGUUCACCCUCUUUGGGAAAGAGAUCUAUUAUGGGUUUGCCUUUCCUGACCACAGAGCCUCAGUCAGCACUGCUGUCCAGGGACUUACAGAACGCCUGAUCUGAAGGCAUGGAAUUCCACCCAGUACAGCAUUUGACCAGGGACACUGGAGGGUCCCACUGGACUAGACUAUGGCUGCCACCAGGGCACUUUGGAUUCCUUAUGUCCAGGGACCAGCCGGGGGACUUGACCCUGAUCAGCAGGAUUCAGGGCUGCUACUCCAUAAUGGGGACAGGAAGGAAUGUGUGCACCCAGGUGAUCCACUGAGCACUCCCAGAUGAUCCCCACUGUCAUCAUGAAAGGACAUGCGCAGCAACCCUGACCUGAGAAGGGUUUGAUUACCAAGCCUUGAGGUCCCCUUUCCCCCUUCCCCGGAAUGAAGGCUGGGGUCACACCACCAGGAACAGCCCAAGGGAAACAGGCAAGAGCUGCCCUCUGUAUCUGGUGGAGAAGCAGCACCGUGUGGCACAAGGGUGGACUGUGACAACCAUGAAGACUUCUCUCGGUUCUCUGGCUGCAGGGAUUGGAAGUGGCCGCCAGCGCCAGCUGCUGUAUCCUGAAAUCUAUUACUGAGUUUGCACUAAGAAUGCACUUCCUACGAGCUGCUGCCUGCCAGUGACUGAGCGUGGCGGGGAUCCUGGCAGGCCGUCCUCAGGAGAUUGCCGAUGGCUUGAGGACUUCUCACCUGCCUUGCCGAGCCUCAUUAGACCUGCCCUGCAGUCUAAGUCUCCUCCGCCCACCUCUCCUUCCUUCUCUCUUUCACAAGGUCACACCCGCACCAUGGUCUCCUGGCUCUCCCAGGCUCCCCUGCUUCCCUUCCAUUACAAUUUGAGAAGCACUGAUUUAGAUGAUUUUGUGUUUAAAUCCUUUAAAUCUCAGUUUGGAACCUGAGUCUUUGCAAAGGUAAACAGUUGGAAUCACAAAACCAUCUGGGUCCUUCAUUUUGUAGGUCAAAGCCCAGCAAAGUUAAGGCACUAGUUCAAAGUCACAUGGCGAACUAGAAUAGAGCCAGCACCCAGGGGUCUUACCCGCCAGCUCUUCCCACUGUAGGCUCUUCUGUGAGCAGGCUGCUUGCUCUAAAUGUGCAUUGUCUACUGUGGUAGCACCGGAAAUGUGGCUAGUUGUGGUGUAAUAAAAAAACACUUGGUCUUUGUCCUGGGUUCCUGGCCUGGAGUCCCUCAAACCCUUAGAAUCUCCUGGGUGAUGGCGUGUCUCUCGUUAUUCACAAGGAGCGCCUCUGACCACACCUGUGUUUAUGCGAACGAAGUGACUCACGGUGGGGCCCUAGAUAGCUUCAGGAUGGGCGCUGGUCAUUGGAAAGACCAAACAUGUGCAUGGAGGGUGGGAACUUGCAGCUUCAGGGGAGGCGGUGGGGGCUGGAGAAUGAGUUAUAAAAACUCUUGAACAAGAUUCAAAGAGCCCCCGGUUGGUGACCACAUUGAGACGCCGGGAGGGUGGAGGCCCCGGGAGGCAUGGAAGGUCUGCCCUCCCCCUUCUCCCACAGCCCUACGCCUCCUUCCCACGUGGCUGCUGCGGAGUGGUACCUUCAAAAUAAACUGAUAAACAAGUAAAGUGUUCUCUUGAGUUCUGUGAGCUCUUCUAAUCAUUGAACCUGAGGAGGGGGUUAUGGGAACCUCCCAAUUUAUAGCUGGUCAGUCGUAAGUAUAGGUGACCCCUGGGACUUGCACCUGGCAUCUAAAGUGGGGGCAGUCUUGUGGGAUGGAGUCCUAAACUGUGGAGCCAGCACUAACUCUGGGGAGUUCGCAUCAGAAUUGAAUGAAAUUGUUGGAUGCGCAGUUGGUGCUGGAGAAUUGGUGUGGAAAAAUGACAUGCAUUUGCUAUGAGAAGUGGUGUCAGGAAAAAGAUGACACACUAGUCCAAACAGAGAUGUGCUGUAAGUGUAAAACACACCCUGGAUUUUGAGGACUCGGUAUGAACAAAGAUUAUAAAAUAUUUCAUUAAUAAUUUUUUGUAUUGAUUUCAUGUUGAAAUAAUAAUUUUGAUGUAUUGGGUUAUAUAAAAUAUAUUAUUAAAAAUAAGAUAAAAUAUGUAAUUAAAAUGAACUUCAGGG